rnacentral:snRNA from 1 species
GUACCUUCGGGUACACAUACUAAAAUUGGAACGAUACAGAGAAGAUUAGCAUGGCCCCUGCGCAAGGAUGACACGCAAAAUCGUGAAGCGUUCCACAUUUUU